rnacentral:lncRNA from 1 species
GUGCUGACAGUACUUCGUUACCUGAACUACAAGAUGCAGACAAUCCCUCCACAGACAGAGAACAGCCUACUCUAAUUUGACUUUGACCCCAUCAAUCCAAAGAAAUUUCUUUGUCAAGGUCACCCACAACCUCCUUGAUAUUCUUCAUCUGGUCAGGCCUGAAAAAAACCUAUAGCACCAUGAGACAGAAGAACAGGUUCUGAAAUUAGCAAAAACAGGAAGACAAGAAGAAAGCUACCCUACUCCAUUCCCUGAAGACCAGAACAGCAGGUGUGCCUAUUUUCAGAGGUUCUGCUGGAUUAGAGGUCCUGGUUCUCAGUGGGACUAUCCUUCCACCAAGGAACAUGGUGAAUUUUGAAGAUAAUUAGCAUAUGAGUUGGUGGAAAGAAUGGGAAUGGAGAAGAAGACAAAGCACUUCUGAAUCUCCCCCUUCCGGCAAUAGCAGCUCUCGGACAUUGACAAAGAUCUGCUGUCUCUCUGGGUGCUGGGUGGGGAGGAAGAGAGCGGCUGCUAAUCCCUGACCUGGAGAUUUGUGGAACCCUUUCAUCUCGCAGAACUGAAAUUCCAUAGCUACUAAGCAACAACUGGCCAGCCCCUGGUAAUCACCAUUCUACAUGCUACAUCUAUGAAUUUGGCCGUUUUACAUACCUCAGGUUAACAUUACUUGAUGAUCAGAGGUGGGAUCCAGAGGAGACCCCCAACAACUCCAAGGCUGGUAAGCAAACAGAUGACUCUACCUACAGAGCCAGGUGGGUUCACUGCUUUCUUCCCGACUUUGGGGUUUGAGAGUGAGGUUUCCCCAGAUUUCAAGCUCCACGUUUGUGUGUUAACUCUUUGGGCUUUAUUGAGGACCUCUUUUAAGGCUCUGGUGAUGUUUUUAUCUCUGAGAGCACUCCUCUGGCCUUCAUUCUGUCUCCAUUUUGAAAUUGGACUGUACUUGAUGGAACUGUGCCAGCCUUUGGUCUGAUUCUUUCUGGAACCAUGCUGAUCCUGUUGAAACUGGUGUUUAGGAAUUUCUCUCUGGUCUAGAGAAAAACCUCUAAGAAAUGGGAUUUCAGUCAUUAAAAUACUUUGAGUGGCCCCCUCCUGACCCUCACUGGGCCUCUGGCUGGGUUUAUGUGCAAAAACUAUGGCCCCUCUGCAUGGACAUUUAUAAUUAAGUGAACUGACUCAACCAAAAGUUAGAACUUCAAUGGCCAUUUUAGGGAACUUUUGGUCUCCCCAAACUUGUUUUACCCAUAAUUAAAUUAGAAAGCCACAGUUCUAAAACAAACAUACAAAAAAAACUGAAUGGGAUACCCAGUGUGAUAGUACCUUGAAGCACCUUGAAGCUUCUAGGUGCUUUCAGGGUUCUAAGUUUGCCUCUUUGCAAAAUACAAUUUCUAAACUAACUGAGGCAAAUAGACAAUUGAAAGGAGUCAAAAUGGCUCUGGGUCCUCUUUUUUCCCUCCUCCAUUUUCUUUGUUGGCAGACACCUUGUGCUCAGACGACUCCUCCAGUGCUCUUUCCCCGUAUUCCCUCUCCUGAACUUCUCUUUUCCUCCAUAUCUCUCCCUGCUCCCUCCUCUCCUGACCCUAUUAAAACCUGCCUCUUUAAAGCUAAGUCAAUAAACCUCAAGCUUCUGAUGUUCCCAGGACUAGGGCCAAACUAUAAGCCAUAGUCAAAGGGUUUUCUAAGUGACUGAGGACCCCCCCAGAGAUUUGUUGAAGAAUUUACCAUUGCUGUUUGCACUAACCAGUUUGGUUUCUCAGAUUUCUAUCAGUCCACGUGCUUAUUGGUGAGGACCAGGGCAAACAUUGGAUGAAAACAGCUGAAAAGGAACAUCCUGAAGGAGAUUUUGAGAAGCAAAUCCCUAACUUUUGUCAAGAUGGUAGAGCACUCACUGGAAAUCUCCACCAAGCAGUUACCAUAGCUUUUCCCAAGCC